AUCCUUUAAUUUAAAAGGCAGCGCGCAGUUAUAAAGAAGACUUGGGACGUAACCCGGCCUGAGAAGCAGGCGUGCUGCCCCUUUGGGUCUCCUGCAAGCUGAUCCAGUUGGAAUUGAUACUGAUGGAAGAUUUUUUCCGCCUUGGAAAGACAAAGAUGGUUCCGAUGGUUUGGUGCUCCAUCUAGUGGAUAGUCUCUGUGACGAAAAACUCUGUGAUAAUAAAAGAAAUGCCUUCAAGAAGAAUGACAGUCUAGAGCCGGAGUUGAAUGAGAUGAUUUUGUGAAACUCCACAUAUGUAUGAAAGAAAAUAAUCAAGUACAGAGCUCAGGGGAAAAUACACAAAACUAUAUGGACUUAGAUUUUCAUCAGACCAGAAGAAAAAAUAAUCGUUUUUUGGAGGAAAAAACUCAUCAUCUCAGAGAGAGAGUGUCUCUCAUAUAUUUCAUUUUGUAUGAAAUAUGGCUUGGCUCCUAAGAUGCUAUAGUUCUCCAAAAAAGACGAAGAAGCCAAGGCCCCCGGCGGUGGAAGAGAUUCUGCCCGGGUCACGCAGCUUCAGCAACAGAUUAACAAACAGAAAACCAGGCCUGGAGCCAGUGCCCUUGACAACCAGCUCAGGGCCAGAUCUCAGCUCCUCCAGCCUUGUUGUGAUUGUUUAAUGGCAUCGUAGAGAUAAACUUCCCAUUAAUUGAGAGCCACAUCUGUAAAUAGAAACCUGUAAAUAGAAUCUGUGGGAUAAAAGCCAUGCUUUCACAUUUAAUAAAAAGUGUAUUUAUUGAGCUUUUCUGCUGUGCAAGGCACUAUUCAGUCCAAUCUAAGCCAACUACCAUCACUAAGCCAAUCUUUGGUCACUGGAUAAAGUUAGUUUGAAGAAAGGCAGAUUAGUGUACAGUUCUAAUUCAGUUCUCAUAGUUUUAAAACAUAACCAUGAAUAUUGCAUUAAGGAUCACAUUAUAAUCUUGAAUUUUGUCAGGAUGUAGAAAUAGGUGGUUGCCUAUACAAAAUACAAAUGACUUCAAUCUCAGACUGUCUCUUCAUCCCUGGGUCUUCAUGUCCUCUUUGUGUUUCCUAUCUGCCAAGAAAAUUUUAAUCCUCUAACUGGUCCAG
rnacentral:lncRNA from 1 species